CUUCAUUCAUGUCGACCCAGGAGUAGGUCUUUGGCCCCCCAAAAAACAGAGUACGAAGAAACAGGCGUAGGCAACGGCAAGGGGCAUUUGAAUCGACUGAAUCAAGACGCAAGAAUUUGACCACUGCUACAGUAGAAGGGAAUCGAAGUGGAAACGAGAAGACAGAAAAACGAGAGAUGCAGAAUGCCUUCCAUGGCAAAAGUAGAUAGACAAGACACGCCCAAGCAUGGCGACGAAGACGACCUACAUUCCGUCUCUGUUCCCUGUCUCUGUGUUUUGCAUUUCACUUACAUAAGGUAACUAAAAAUUCUUCUCUGAACCCACGAAGCAUCACAACAGAAGAAGCAAGAACACACCCUUGAGAAAGGAAAACGGUCAACAAUAGUAGAGUUGCAGAGUCGAAGCGUACAUUUACAGAGACAGACGAGGGCUACUCUUGCUUGGCCCGCGAGUACGUGCUGAGCUCGGGCGGCGACCCCGAGGCUGGCUCGUCCGCGACCCUUCCAAGCCCCGCCGUCGAUGCUGUACCGGCCACCUUCUUCACAACCAUCCUGAAGAUCCCGACUUUGACCUGUCCUCUCUUGGGAGGCAGCCUCGCCUUCGAACCCUUCCCGAGCUCUUCUUCGUUGAGCAUGGAUUCGACGUUUUAUCCGCAAUCCUCUCUCUGCAGUAGAGAAAUCUCAAGUGGGUUAUCAGAGAUGAGCUAGCAG
rnacentral:lncRNA from 1 species